UACAGAGGUCUCAAGCGUUGUUCGGAUUCAUUGGGCGUAAAGGGUGCGUAGGCGGCGCGGUAAGUCGGGUGUGAAAUCUCGGAGCUUAACUCCGAAACUGCAUUCGAUACUGCCGUGCUUGAGGACUGGAGAGGAGACUGGAAUUACGGUGUAGCGGUGAAUGCGUAGAUAUCGUAAGGAAGACCAGUGGCGAAGGCGGGUCUCCUGGACAGUUCCUGACGCUGAGGCACGAAGGUCAGGGGAGCAAACGGG
rnacentral:rRNA from 1 species